rnacentral:lncRNA from 1 species
GGUGCCAUGUUCAAAGCACUGUGGAUCCACAGUUUGGCCCCACCCUCCACCUUCACUGCCAGUAUCUUAGAAAAACCAAACCAUGGCUCAUUUGAUAUUGAUAGCUUCCUAACUCAUCCCCUGCCUUCCAUUCUUGCCCCUCUAUCGUCUGUUUUCAACAGAGCAGCCAGAAUCAAAAAAAAAAAAAAAAAAAAAAAAAAAAAAAAAAAAAAAAAAAAAAAAAAAAAAAAAAAAAAAAAAAAAAAAAAAAAAAAAAAAAAAAAAAAAAAAAAAAAAAAAAAAUUUUUUGCAUUUUUAGUAGAGAUGGGGUUUCACCA